GGUACAUUGUGAAACUCAAAUAAAUACAAUAGAAAAAAUGAAAUAUAAAAAUUUGUAUUUCAUUUGAAUAUUCUAUUCAUAUUAAUAUGAUAUGAAUAGAAUAUUCAAAUGAAAUACUAUAAAUCUACUAUAAAUCUAUUUCUACGUCGUCUAGCUAGCUUCACGAUCUCUAUAUAGAUCGCCUCUAGGGUCUCUCAUUUUGUUCAUGCUGAGAAUGGUCUUAAGAUUGACGGUUAACAUUCG
rnacentral:lncRNA from 1 species